ACUACUUCUUUUAAAUGUACGAAAAUGUUUCCUCCUUUUUGCUUUUCAUAAAUGCCCCUAGCACUUGCAACUAAUACCAGUCUUAUCUUACACCUCUUCCCAACGACACAAUACAACGGCUCCAACCAAAACCAUACAACCUGAACGACGCACCAUUUUCCAACAGCUCCCAAUAAGCACCCCUUCAAUCCUUCUUUACAAUGGUUCGCCUUGGGAAAAUCGAAUUCCCCCUCACGUUUAUCUCCAGAUUCCUCACUACCAACAUUACAUCCCAAAAAAAAACCUGCAGAUUACCGCUAGAAACAUCUCUGAGCAUCUCCCUUCGUCUUUCAAGCGCUUCAACAGUCGCCAAACACAACCACCACCCCGUCUUCCUUUGACUUUUUUUCCAUCUUCGUCUCCGACCUUCAAUUGGAUUUCAGACUGCUACUUAGACCCCGUCCUAGCGACAAUCGCCGAAGAAGAGCCCGGUUUCUGUUGCCUACAAUAUUUAAUUGCAUAUGGAUAUCUUAGAUGACAUGUUGGCUGGUGAAGGAUGGACUGUGUAGGAUUAAUUGGAAUACGGAGAGAGUGAUUACUAUCCACUGCUUUAAAAUGGGCACAUGCUUUAUAUGCAUGACAUGAGAGAAGUAGUUGUACGUGCUGUUGUUCCCAUGGAUGAAGAAGGCAAGACGGCUAAUAUGGUAUGGGAGAGAAACCAUCGAUGGCUGGAGAUGUGUACAGUUACGGGAUCACGUUGCUGGAGCUUUUUACUGGAAAGAGCUCUAACCAUGAGAGUUCCACAGCAGAUUUAAGCUUGAAGAAAUGGGUGCAAAUGGCAUUCGCAACCAACGUAGAUCAAGUGUUGGAUCCUGGUCUGGUGCCAAUCAAUUGAAGUGAUGUUCAGUCCAUUACUUCAAAGUCAUAGAGUGAUUGCUCGAUUGUAGUACUUGGUGUUGGUCUCGCUUACAUUGUUGAUUUGCCAGACGGACGCAUUAGCAUGAGGGAUGCUAGAGGGCAGUCCUAUUCCUAAAAUAGGCUAUAGCAGGAAUGCUUGAUCUGUCCAUCAAUUUUUAUAUUAAGUGCUUGUGCUUUAGGUAUCUGUGUCCGACUUCUACAAAUUCAGAGCUCUUGUGUCAUGGAUCAGAAUUGUUUUUUUUUUCCCCAAUUUUCAUCUCCACUGUGUAUUAUCAGUUGCCUAGAUGUUUGCCGACACAAAAGCCAAUGGCCAAGAACUUAUAUUUGGCCAUAAUAUUAUUACUUUCUUUUACACUA